rnacentral:sRNA from 1 species
GGCGACGAAAAAAUUUAAAGUGUCUAGAAGCACAAAAUUGAUUAAAAAAUACAAAUACGAAGAAAAAACUGAGGUGAAUGAAGUAGUUGCACUGGUACAUGGGCAUCGUACAAUUUUCGAUACAAAUGUAGAAGCGAUUCUAAGUAAAAUAUUUAGAAUACUGCAAUAACAUGUAUUUUGGGCUUUCAAACAAAGGAAGUGCGAGGUUUAGCAUAUGAUUUUGCGAAGAAAUUAAAAUUAACUGUGCCAUCUUGCCUCUUGGGAGGCCACUCAUAUGGCUGAAGAUUGAUUAAGUGGCUUUCUCAAACGGCAUCAGAACUUGGCUGCACACAAAUCGGAAGCGACAAGUUUAGCGCGUGCCACUAAUUUUUAAUUCAACUAAUGUCAAAAUUUUUUUUCAUUAUUGAAAAAAGUAAUAAAUAAACUCCAUUUUUCGUGUCAAAA